UAUCACCUUUAGGGGCUGAAUCUUGCUAUUCAGGAGUCCUGAUGUUAUUACUCAACUUUUUUGGUGUGCAGUGAGUCAAUAUCAACUGGAGAAUCAUUUCAUUUACAGCAGAAAGUUAAAGUUCUGGAGCGUAAAACACAGUCAGGGUCAUAAAAACACACAUCAAAAGAAAAAUGUGGCUUAAUUUAUUACCUCAAUUUGUGCUCCAGUUUUCCUUGCUAUUGUUCUUUUUAUUAAUUGUAUGAUUUUUUGUAUGGUUUAUUCAUAAACAGAAUGCUGUCCCCAAAUGGAUGAACCUGUUGACUAGCCGAUCAGUAAACUGUAAAUGCUGCUGUAAAAUAAAGAGUGUUUGGGCGAUAAAUCAGACAGGAAGAAUUCUCGGUUUCCCCGGGGAGCAUUUUUGAAGACUUUCUAGGAAAGUCCCAAUACAAAGGAACAACUCCACUUCAAAGUGUCCCGUGAAAAGCUACAUCCCAGGAGAACCUGCCUUCCAAAAAGCUCACCCCUCCUCCCGCAGUGGUACCCACUGCCAGGCAGCCAGGACUGUUAAUACAUGCAGUGAUGGGCACAUCCUGAAUAUUCCUGAAGAUUCAUUGGAAGGACUGAUGCUGAAGCUUCAAUACUCUGGCCACCUGAUGCCAAGAGCUGACUCAUUGGAAGAGACUCUGAUGCUGAGAAAGAUUGCGAACAGGA
rnacentral:lncRNA from 1 species